GAUGAACGCUGGCGGCGUGCCUAAUACAUGCAAGUCGAGCGAACAGACGAGGAGCUUGCUCCUCUGACGUUAGCGGCGGACGGGUGAGUAACACGUGGAUAACCUACCUAUAAGACUGGGAUAACUUCGGGAAACCGGAGCUAAUACCGGAUAAUAUAUUGAACCGCAUGGUUCAAUAGUGAAAGACGGUUUUGCUGUCACUUAUAGAUGGAUCCGCGCCGCAUUAGCUAGUUGGUAAGGUAACGGCUUACCAAGGCAACGAUGCGUAGCCGACCUGAGAGGGGGAUCGGCCACACUGGAACUGAGACACGGUCCAAAUCCCUACGGGAGGCAGAAGUAGGGAAUCUUCCGCAAGGGGCGAAAGCCUGACGGAGCAACGCCGCGGGAGUGAUGAAGGUCUUCGGAUCGUAAAACUCUGUUAUUAGGGAAGAACAAAUGUGUAAGUAACGAUGCACGUCUUGACGGUACCUAAUCAGAAAGCCACGGCUAACUACGU
rnacentral:rRNA from 1 species